rnacentral:rRNA from 1 species
AGGGUUUGAUCCUGGCUCAGAACGAACGCUGGUGGCGUGCUUAACACAUGCAAGUCGAACGAGAAAGUUUCCUUCGGGAAAUUAGUAAAGUGGCGCAAGGGUGAGUAUCACGUGAAUAAUCUGCCCUCGAGAUCGGGAUAACAUGGUGAAAACUAUGCUAAUACUGGAUAAGACCACAUUUCAUAAGAAAUGCGGUAAAAGGAGUCUCAAUCUUCACUCGAGGAUGAGUUCGCGCAACAUUAGCUUGUUGGUGGGAUAAAAGCUCACCAAGGCUACGAUGUUUAGCCGGCCUGAGAGGGUGAUCGGCCACACUGGAACUGAGACACGGUCCAGACUCCUACGGGAGGCAGCAGUGGGGAAUAUUGCGCAAUGGGCGAAAGCCUGACGCAGCAACGCCGUGUGAGCGAUGAAGGCUUUAGGGUCGUAAAGCUCUGUCAAAUGGGAAGAAUUUUGACGGUACCAUUAGAGGAAGCCCCGGCUAACUCCGUGCCAGCAGCCGCGGUAAUACGGAGGGGGCAAGCGUUGUUCGGAAUUAUUGGGCGUAAAGCGUAUGUAGGCGGUUAAACAAGUCAGGCGUGCAAGCCCGUGGCUCAACCACGGAAUUGCGUUUGAAACUGUUUAACUUGAGUACAGGAGAGGAAAGCGGAAUUCCCAGUGUAGCGGUGAAAUG